GUGGAGGUAAGGUGGGAGGGUGUGUGGGGGGAACGAGGCUAAAGGGGUCAGCAGCCGGCUCAUUCGACACUUUGGGUCUUGUCAAGGGGGUCAAGCAGGAGCGGGAUUGGUGCCGUUGGGUCUGUGUCCUAAGAGGAUCUCUGAGGAGGCCACGGGGAGAGCAGUGUGGUGGUGUUGACAGCCGGGCAGCGGCCUGUACCUCCAGGUGGACAGGCCUCCAGGUGGUCAGUGCCCCGGCUGCCCACCCAGGAGCUGGAGGGCCUGGGGAGAGGCAGGUGCCGGCCGAGGGCAGGGAGGGGCCAGCCCAGGGUUUGUCAAGGGGUAGCUGGCAGGAGCAGAGCAAUUUUUCCAAGGGAGAAAGAGGCCCAGGGAGCCUGUUCCGCUCCUGCCCCCAGGGGACACUUAACCCUCCAGGAGGGGAAGGGCUGGGAGUGGCCCCCUGGUGGCCCCUGUCCCCGGGGCUGGACACCCAGGCCCAGGAGAGCCACCGCUUGUCACCUGGCAGCAGUCGAGCGAGCACGGCAUGUGUAUCGACAUGGUAGGGGUCCCUGAGACCAUGUCUGCUGACCCGGCCGGAGGCGUGUGACUCGGCCACCCCCAGGACCAUUGCAGGCACCGCGUUCACAUUGACCUCAGGCGCUGGCGAGUCCUGCCCUCCUCCUUGCACCUGCAGCGCACAUUCCGCCCCCUCUCCACCCAGACUUGGGGCGACCCUCCCAGCUGCCUCCCCCCUGCUGACCCAGGGUUGGGGGUGGUGUGAAGUGCGGGCAGUGCUUGGGUGGGGCGUGCUCAGCGGCAGCCGAGGGUCCUGGAGCCACAGCCUUGGGAGGCAGGCAAUGACUUUUGGGCUGAGCCCAGGCCUGGAAGCUGGGGCUGUCCCUGGUUGGGGCCGGGCCUCUGGGGGCAUCUUCUCCUGGGCUCUGAGGGAGCAGAAAAGGCCAGAGCCGGGUGGGGGUGUCGCUUAGUCCCCAGGGUCAGGGUGCUGGCCUGCGAGUUGGGGUCCUCUCUUCAAAAUAUUGCCAGUUUGGUCUCUUGCUAUAGAAACUUUCACCCCACCCCUGUACACACCUUCUAAGGAGGAAGCCCAAGACAGGCGACGGCUGGUGUGCCCCGUCCACCCAGGCCCCCCAGUCUCCCAUGAGGGCCCCUCCAAGGAACCCCUGGGGCUCCCCCAUCUAGUGGAUUUCUUAGCUCGAGGCUUCCAGGAGCCUCCGUGGUAUGUGAGGGACUCGGAGGAACAGGCAAAGGUGACAGGAAAAAGGGGCCUGGUUUGCACAGUCCUGGAGGGAGGGACAGAACUGGGGGACCCCCUGGGGAGGCAGAGCCUUGUUCCCACAGAAUCCAGGGGCUCCCGGGCCUCUGUGUGUCCCCAGGAGGCCGUUGCCCUCGGGAUUGGGUGUCCAGGCUGGCCCUGGUGGAGACUGCCCCUUCUGAUUCCAGGCAGGCUGGGCCUUGGGCAGUCACAGAAGAGGGGGCUCUGUUGGGGCUGAUGGGAUUUUUAAAAAUUGUGAAUUAUAUGUACUCGUGAGUAAUGGUCAAUGUCAAAGGGUUAGAAACUACAGAAAAGCUUAAAGAAGAAAAUAAACACCUCCCAACCUCUC
ensembl:lncRNA